rnacentral:rRNA from 1 species
UACGUAGGGGGCAAGCGUUGUCCGGAUUUAUUGGGCGUAAAGAGCGUGUAGGCGGCUUGGUAGGUCUCGCGUCAAAACCUGAGGCUCAACCUCAGUUCGCGUGGGAAACCACCUAGCUAGAGUGCGGCAGAGGGGGAUGGAAUUCCGCGUGUAGCAGUGAAAUGCGUAGAUAUGCGGAGGAACACCGAUGGCGAAGGCAAUCCCCUGGGCCGAUACUGACGCUGAGGAGCGAAAGCGUGGGGAGCGAACAGG